ACGGCCUUUUCGAAGGCUCGUCUGCUAGAAAAUUUUGCGCGCAGGUCCGACCAUCAACAUUCGGGCCCACUUUCCUCAGUGAAGGUGUCCCUGCGCA
rnacentral:ncRNA from 16 species